rfam:Glarea lozoyensis 74030 unplaced genomic scaffold M7I_scaffold35, whole genome shotgun sequence.
GCUCGGCUGGCGCAAUGGUAGCGCGCGAGACUUCUAAUCUCGAGGCUGUGGGGUAAGUUUAGAUAUCCGUCCCUGAAUUUACAAUGACUAAUAAGUGUGCAGUUCGAGCCCCACGUCGAGUG